GAUGAACGCUGGCGGCGUGCUUAACACAUGCAAGUCGAACGAGAAGUGAAGACGGAAACCUUCGGGCGGAAGGCUUUAUUUCGAGUGGCGGACGGGUGAGUAACGCGUGGGUAACCUGCCUCAUACAGGGGGAUAACAGUUUGAAACGACUGUUAAUACCGCAUCAGACCACAGCACCGCAUGGUGCGGGGGUAAAAACUCCGGUGGUAUGAGAUGGACCCGCGUUCGAUUAGCCAGUUGGCGGGGUAACGGCCCACCAAAGCGACGAUCGAUAGCCGAUCUGAGAGGAUGACCGGCCACAUUGGGACUGAGACACGGCCCAAACUCCUACGGGAGGCAGCAGUGGGGAAUAUUGCACAAUGGGGGAAAACCUGAUGCAGCGACGCCGCGUGAGUGAAGAAGUAUUUCGGUAUGUAAAGCUCUAUCAGCAGGGAAGAAAAUGACGGUACCUGAGUAAGAAGCCCCGGCUAACUACGUG
rnacentral:rRNA from 1 species